rnacentral:tRNA from 1 species
AGAAAGGUAAGCUAAAUUAAGCUACUAGGUUCAUACCCUAUUUAUAGAGGCAAUUCCUCUCCUCUCUA